rnacentral:rRNA from 1 species
AGAGUUUGAUCAUAGCUCAGGAUGAACGCUAGCUACAGGCUUAACACAUGCAAGUCGAGGGGAACGACAUCGAGAGCUUGCUUUUGAUGGGCGUCGACCGGCGCACGGGUGAGUAACGCGUAUCCAACCUGCCCACCACUUGGGGAUAACCUUGCGAAAGUAAGACUAAUACCCAAUGACGUCUCUAGAAGACAUCUGAAGGAGAUUAAAGAUUUAUCGGUGAUGGAUGGGGAUGCGUCUGAUUAGCUUGUUGGCGGGGUAACGGCCACCAAGGCGACGAUCAGUAGGGGUUCUGAGAGGAAGGUCCCCCANAUUGGAACUGAGACACGGUCCAAACUCCAACGGGAGGCA